UGGUGGGGUAAUGGCCCACCAAGCCUACGACGGGUAGCCGGCCUGAGAGGGUGGUCGGCCACAAGGGCACUGAGACACGGGCCCUACUCCUACGGGAGGCAGCAGUGGGGAAUCUUGGACAAUGGGCGAAAGCCUGAUCCAGCGACGCCGCGUGGGGGAUGAAGCCCUUCGGGGUGUAAACCCCUGUUGCGAGGGAGGAAUAAGGCCUGGAGGAAAUGCCAGGCCGAUGACUGUACCUCGCGAGGAAGCCCCGGCUAACUACGUGCCAGCAGCCGCGGUAAUACGUAGGGGGCGAGCGUUACCCGGAUUCACUGGGCGUAAAGCGGGUGUAGGCGGCUCGGUAAGUCGGGUGUGAAAUCCCACAGCUCAACUGUGGAAUUGCGCCCGAAACUGCUGAGCUUGGGGCCGGUAGAGGGAGACGGAACUGCCGGUGUAGGGGUGAAAUCCGUAGAUAUCGGCAGGAACGCCGGUGGGGAAGCCGGUCUCCUGGGCCGCGCCCGACGCUGAGACCCGAAAGCUAGGGGAGCAAACCGGA
rnacentral:rRNA from 1 species